CAGUCGCCGCGGGAAUACAGAGGGUGCGAGCGUUAAUCGGAUUUACUGGGCGUAAAGCGUGCGUAGGCGGCUUUUUAAGUCGGAUGUGAAAUCCCUGAGCUUAACUUAGGAAUUGCAUUCGAUACUGGGAAGCUAGUGUAUGGGAGAGGAUGGUAGAAUUCCAGGUGUAGCGGUGAAAUGCGUAGAGAUCUGGAGGAAUACCGAUGGCGAAGGCAGCCAUCUGGCCUAAUACUGACGCUGAGGUACGAAAGCAUGGGGAGCAAACAGGAUUAGAUACCCCCGUAGUCCCUGUCUCUUAUAC
rnacentral:rRNA from 1 species